CCUACGGGUGGCAGCAGUGAGGAAUAUUGGUCAAUGGCCGGAAGGCUGAACCAGCCAAGUCGCGUGAGGGAAUAAGGCCCUAUGGGUCGUAAACCUCUUUUGUCAGGGAGCAAAGGCGUCCACGUGUGGACGAGAGGAGAGUACCUGAAGAAAAAGCAUCGGCUAACUACGUGCCAGCAGCCGCGGUAAUACGUAGGGUGCGAGCGUUAAUCGGAAUUACUGGGCGUAAAGGGUGUGCAGGUGGUUUUGCAAGAUGGAUGUGAAAGCCCCGGGCUUAACCUGGGAAAGCCAUACAUGACUGCAAGACUAGAGUGCGUCAGAGGGGGGUGGAAUUCCAAGUGUAGCAGUGAAAUGCGUAGAUAUUUGGAAGAACACCGAUGGCGAAGGCAGCCCCCUGGGACGCAACUGACGCUCAUACACGAAAGCGUGGGGAGCAAACAGGAUUAGAUACCCCGGUAGUC
rnacentral:rRNA from 1 species